GACGGAGGGUGCAAGCGUUAUCCGGAUUCACUGGGUUUAAAGGGUGCGUAGGCGGGUAAGUAAGUCCGUGGUGAAAUCUCUGAGCUUAACUCAGAAACUGCCGUGGAUACUAUUUGCCUUGAAUAUUGUGGAGGUGAGCGGAAUAUGUCAUGUAGCGGUGAAAUGCUUAGAUAUGACAUAGAACACCAAUUGCGAAGGCAGCUCACUACACAAUCAUUGACGCUGAGGCACGAAAGCGUGGGGAUCAAACAG
rnacentral:rRNA from 1 species